rnacentral:rRNA from 1 species
UGGGGGAUAUUGCACAAUGGGCGAAAGCCUGAUGCAGCGACGCCGCGUGGGGGAUGAAGGCCUUCGGGUUGUAAACUUCUUUUGCUCUGAACAAGGCAUGCCUUUGGGGUGUGUUGAGUGUAGGGGUUGAUUAGCGCCGGCUAACUACGUGCCAGCAGCCGCGGUAAUACGUAGGGCGCGAGCGUUGUCCGGAAUUAUUGGGCGUAAAGGGCUUGUAGGUGGCUGGUUGCGUCUGUCGUGAAAGCUCAUGGCUUAACUGUGGGUUUGCGGUGGGUACGGGCUGGCUUGAGUGCAGUAGGGGAGGCUGGAAUUCCUGGUGUAGCGGUGGAAUGCGCAGAUAUCAGGAGGAACACCAGUGGCGAAGGCGGCUUACUGGACGAUAACUGACGUUGAGGCUCGAAAGCGUGGGGAGCAAACAGG